UACAGAGGGUGCAAGCGUUGUCCGGAAUUACUGGGCGUAAAGAGCGCGUAGGCGGCGCGGUACGACCGCUGUGAAAGCCCCCAGCUCAACUGGGGAGGGUCAGCGGUAACGGCCGUGCUAUGAGUGCAGGAGAGGGAAGUGGAACUCCGGGAGUAGCGGUGAAAUGCGUAGAGACCCGGAGGAACACCAGUGGCGAAGGCGGCUUCCUGGUCUGCGACUGACGCUGUGGCGCGAAAGCUAGGGGAGCAAACGGG
rnacentral:rRNA from 1 species